rnacentral:rRNA from 1 species
GAUGAGCGCUAGCGGCAGGCUUAAUACAUGCAAGUCGAGGGGCAGCACGGGUAGCAAUACUUGGUGGCGACCGGCGCACGGGUGCGUAACACGUAUACAAUCUACCUAUAACAGGGGGAUAGCCUUUCGAAAGAGAGAUUAAUACCCCGUAACACACGAAACGGCAUCGUUUUUUGUUGAAAGUUCCGACGGUUAUAGAUGAGUAUGCGUCUGAUUAGCUAGUUGGUAGUGUAAUGGACUACCAAGGCGACGAUCAGUAGGGGAUCUGAGAGGACUACCCCCCACACUGGUACUGAGACACGGACCAGACUCCUACGGGAGGCAGCAGUAAGGAAUAUUGGACAAUGGUGGCAACACUGAUACAGCCAUGCCGCGUGCAGGAAGACGGCCCUAUGGGUUGUAAACUGCUUUUGUACCAGAGAAAACCUAUCUACGUGUAGAUAGCUGAUAGUAUGGUAAGAAUAAGCAUCGGCUAACUUCGUGCCAGCCGCCGCGGUAAGAC